GAAGUAGUCCAGAUGGUCGCCCGGUGAAAAUUGGGAGGAAAGUCCGAACUCCGCAGGGCAUGGCGCUGGGUAACACCCAGUGGGGGCAACCCCAAGGAAAGUGCCACAGAAAGCAGACCGCCUGCUACGCAGGUAAGGGUGAAAAGGUGGGGUAAGAGCCCACCAGUUCCGAUGGUGACACCGGAAGCUUGGUAAACCCCGUCAGGAGCAAGACCAAAUAGGUUCCAACCUCUUAAGUGAGGGAAGUGCUGCCCGUACUGUGGAACGGGUAAGGUCGCUAAAGGCCGCGGGUAACCGCGGCCAUAGAUGAAUGAUCAUCACCCCGAAAGGGGAACAGAAUUCGGCUUACGGGCUGCUUCAGCU
rnacentral:RNase_P_RNA from 1 species